AGGGUUUGAUCAUGGCUCAGGAUGAACGCUGGCGGCGUGCUUAACACAUGCAAGUCGAACGGUGAAACAGGAGCUUGCUCCUGUGGAUCAGUGGCGAACGGGUGAGUAACACGUGAGCAAUCUGCCCCGGACUCUGGGAUAAGCGCUGGAAACGGCGUCUAAUACCGGAUACGAGACGUGGAGGCAUCUCCAACGUCUGGAAAGAACUUCGGUCUGGGAUGAGCUCGCGGCCUAUCAGCUAGUUGGUGAGGUAACGGCUCACCAAGGCGACGACGGGUAGCCGGCCUGAGAGGGUGACCGGCCACACUGGGACUGAGACACGGCCCAGACUCCUACGGGAGGCAGCAGUGGGGAAUAUUGCACAAUGGGCGCAAGCCUGAUGCAGCAACGCCGCGUGAGGGACGACGGCCUUCGGGUUGUAAACCUCUUUUAGCAGGGAAGAAGCGAAAGUGACGGUACCUGCAGAAAAAGCACCGGCUAACUACGUGCCAGCAGCCGCGGUAAUACGUAGGGUGCAAGCGUUAUCCGGAAUUAUUGGGCGUAAAGAGCUCGUAGGCGGUUUGUCGCGUCUGCUGUGAAAACCGGAGGCUCAACCUCCGGCCUGCAGUGGGUACGGGCAGACUAGAGUGCGGUAGGGGAGAUUGGAAUUCCUGGUGUAGCGGUGGAAUGCGCAGAUAUCAGGAGGAACACCGAUGGCGAAGGCAGAUCUCUGGGCCGUAACUGACGCUGAGGAGCGAAAGCGUGGGGAGCGAACAGGAUUAGAUACCCUGGUAGUCCACGCCGUAAACGUUGGGAACUAGAUGUGGGGUCCAUUCCACGGAUUCCGUGUCGCAGCUAACGCAUUAAGUUCCCCGCCUGGGGAGUACGGCCGCAAGG
rnacentral:rRNA from 1 species